UGACAUUCCAUUGGGUCCAUCGUUCCCAGCCGAAGACGAAACGAAAACACCCCUGGAAGCGGCGCCGUACGCUCCGAUUGCAAUUGGGUCAAGAUAAUACGGUGAGGAAACGCCAUCGCCGCCUCCAAUUGAGAUCGAAAUGACGUCGACGCCGUCGUUAACCGCAGCAUCAAACGCCGCGAGAAUAUCGGAAUCAAAACAACCCGAGUUUUUCCAACAAACUUUGUAAACCGCUAAACGCGCCUUAGGGG
rnacentral:misc_RNA from 1 species